rnacentral:rRNA from 1 species
UAGGGAAUCUUCCACAAUGGGCGAAAGCCUGAUGGAGCAACGCCGCGUGUGUGAUGAAGGGUUUCGGCUCGUAAAACACUGUUGUAAGAGAAGAAUGACAUUGAGAGUAACUGUUCAAUGUGUGACGGUAUCCUACCAGAAAGGAACGGCUAAAUACGUGCCAA